UAGUAACUGCGAGUGAAGAGGGAAAAGCUCAAAUUUUGAAUCUGGCGGUCGUGAUGGCCGUCCGAGUUGUAAUCUAGAGAAGCGUCUUCUAGCGCUGAGCCGUGUACAAGUCUCCUGGAAGGGAGCGUCAUAGAGGGUGAGAAUCCCGUCUUUGACACGGAGAAUCAGUGCGAUGUGAUGCGCUCUCGACGAGUCGAGUUGUUUGGGAAUGCAGCUCAAAUAGGGUGGUAAAUUCCAUCUAAAGCUAAAUACUGGCGAGAGACCGAUAGCGAACAAGUACCGUGAGGGAAAGAUGAAAAGAACUUUGGAAAGAGAGUUAAACAGUACGUGAAAUUGCUGAAAGGGAAACGCUCGAGGUCAGUCGCGUCCGCCAGGGAUCAACCUUGCUUCUUCGCUCGGUGCAUUUCUUGGUCGGACGGGUCAGCAUCAGUUUC
rnacentral:rRNA from 1 species